UACGUAGGGAGCGAGCGUUAUCCGGAAUUAUUGGGUGUAAAGGGUGCGUAGACGGGAGUCUAAGUUAGUUGUGAAAUCCCUCGGCUCAACUGAGGAACUGCAACUAAAACUGGACAUCUUGAGUGCAGGAGAGGAAAGUGGAAUUCCUAGUGUAGCGGUGAAAUGCGUAGAUAUUAGGAGGAACACCAGUGGCGAAGGCGACUUUCUGGACUGUAACUGACGUUGAGGCACGAAAGUGUGGGGAGCAAACAGG
rnacentral:rRNA from 1 species